AUUGAACGCUGGCGGCAGGCCUAACACAUGCAAGUCGAGCGGUUGAGAGUAGCUUGCUACUUGAUGCAGCGGCGGACGGGUGAGUAAUGCAUGGGAAUCUGCCUGGUAGUGGGGGACAACGUUUCGAAAGGAACGCUAAUACCGCAUACGCCCUACGGGGAAAGGGGGGGAUCUUCGGACCUCUCGCUAUCAGAUGAGCCCAUGUCAGAUUAGCUAGUUGGGGGGGUAAAGGCCCACCAAGGCGACGAUCUGUAACUGGUCUGAGAGGAUGAUCAGUCACACUGGAACUGAGACACGGUCCAGACUCCUACGGAGGCAGCAGUGGGGAAUAUUGGACAAUGGGCGAAAGCCUGAUCCAGCCAUGCCGCGUGUGUGAAGAAGG
rnacentral:rRNA from 1 species